rnacentral:rRNA from 1 species
GGGGCUUGAGUUCUGGGAGUUAACCAGACAAAAAAAACUCCCCCCUUCGGGAGUUCGACCGCAAGGUUGAAAAUCAAAGGAAUUAACGGGGGGCCGCCCAAGCAGUCGGAGCAUGUGGUUUAAUUUGUAGCAACGCGAAGAACCUUACCAGGUCUUGACAUCCUCUGAACACUCUAGAGAUAGAGCUUUCCCCUUCGGGGGACAGAGUGACAGGUGGUGCAUGGUUGUCGUCAGCUCGUGUCGUGAGAUGUUGGGUUAAGUCCCGCAACGAGCGCAACCCUUGACCUUAGUUGCCAGCAUUCAGUUGGGCACUCUAAGGUGACUGCCGGUGACAAACCGGAGGAAGGUGGGGAUGACGUCAAAUCAUCAUGCCCCUUAUGACCUGGGCUACACACGUGCUACAAUGGAUGGUACAAAGGGUUGCGAAGCCGCGAGGCCAAGCCAAUCCCAAAAAGCCAUUCUCAGUUCGGAUUGUAGGCUGCAACUCGCCUACAUGAAGCCGGAAUUGCUAGUAAUCGCGGAUCAGCAUGCCGCGGUGAAUACGUUCCCGGGCCUUGUACACACCGCCCGUCACACCACGAGAGUUUGUAACACCCGAAGUCGGUGGGGUAACCCUUUUGGGAGCCAGCCGCCGAAGU